ACUGUCCCCAGGGGCAGUGCCAGCUCCACACAGCAGCACUCAACCUUCCCUUUCUCUCUCGUGGGCCAUCUUCUCCAUGCCCAUUCUCUUCUCAGCUCAGCUGACAUUCACUCCUUAAUCUUGUAAACCGCAAGGAGAGAGAGUAAGUGGAUGGAAGAGUACUAGGAACACAUACAGAGAGGACAGCUAUGAAAAGGGAUGUGGGCUCAGCCCUGUGCAUGCCAAGCCUGAUCUCCCCCAGGCUUUUCUGGGAGCAAAACCUCCCUACGCAGCUGAGCAGCUAGCCUGCUGGAAGUCAUGGUAGGUGGAGAGGAGCCUCUUGGAUCAGUUCAAAUUUGGAACUUUCCUUAGUAUCCCUGGAGAAUAAACUGUUUCUGGAGUGUAAGGCCAAAGAAAACACCACCUAUUUCAUACAGCAGAGUUUCAUCCCGUGGGUCGCACACCAUUAGUGGGUUGUGAAAUCAACUUAGUGGUUUACUGCCAGCGUUGUAAAACAAUAGAUUAGAAACAAAAAUCUCAGGGUAUCACAAAAAGGGUAAGUAUUUUUUUCCCAGUGUAUAUACAUCUAUCCAUACCUAUGCCUAUACCUAUAUUGUAUCUAAAUAUCUCUGUGGGGAGGCAAUGCAAAGUUUGUUAAAUGUAUUUCUUACUGUGAUUUUGUGGUCAAGAAAGUUCAACUAACAUUAGCCUGGACAAACUCGUUGCUGAUAGGAUCAUCUGGCCCUGGAGGAGCCAGAAAGAAGCAAGCCCAUGUGGAGAAAAGUCAGAACUGAGGCUCUGGCCCGUUUUGGCCUCCUGGACCUGACAGCCCUUUUGGGCCCCUCCCGGAAUUAGGCGAGCACCUCAUUGGUCCUUGGGUGGGAAGGGCUGUUGUGGGAAACCUUCUUUAGAGGCCCCUAUGUGUAUUCCGGUUGUCUAAAUGCCAUGGCUCUUCACUGCUCUGGGUCCUCACGUUAGCUUCUGAAUCAUGCAGAUUGCUAAAAGAGAGCCCUGCAGAACUUGGGAGAACUGGAUAGCGCUAAGGUACAAUGAGAAAACAGCAAUUGGUCAGCAAAUGUCAGCGGUCUUCUGGGGCGUGGUGCUGUUUGAGGUCGGGGCUGAGUACUUGCCCUUGCUAAAGGAUGAAAUCCAAGAGCCCCUGGAAGACUGAGAGGGGCCGGGUUUGGGGACCCUCUUCCUGGAAGAUCAUUAGGGAAAGCACGGGGGUCUGGGGAGAGGCAGGCCCUGCUGGAUGCCUCAAAGCAGUCACCUCUGAUAGCUGCAAGUUCUUUUCUUGUUUGAGAAAAAGAGUGCAAGGCUUUUUAUCAUUCCUCGCCGGAUGCUCCACAAAUCACCGAGGAUUUGAGAAUAGCAUCCAGAAUGCUGAGAGAGGAGAAAGAAUAUGAAUGUGUGUGCACACACACAGGAUGCUCCCGCGUGCUGCUGGGUGGCGGGGCACUGACUGACUACUGGGGUGCACUGCCGAAGCCAUUCCUGAGUUGGGCUGGUAGGGGUGCUACACAGGGAGAUGUCAUUUUUUUUUUAACUAAGAAAUUACAGAGUAUCUAGCACACUGCCUGGAAUAUACUACAUGCUUAAUUUAGAGGGGUGAUUUUCCUAAAGAUUUCAGAAUGAUUUGUCCUUGUUAAUCACUGUGGAAUCCAGGAAGAGUGCUGUUCAAAGGUGUCUGUUCCUGUGGUGUGGACAGCAUGCAGAAAUAACUGAAAUUAGGAUUCUCCUGUUAAAGGAAAGCUCCAGCUUCUAAAGCCUUCAUUAUUCUUUGCUUCUUUCAAAAUCCCUUUUAUCCCCACUGAUGGUCAGCCCUCUCCCUUUCCCUCCCCCAUCCCUUGUUCUCUCAUUCUCCUCCCUCUCCCUCUCAGGACUACCUGCAUCUCUCUGGCCUUCAAUACACCACCAAGAGGGGAGGAAAAUUAACUGGGCAAAGAAAAGUUAUGGAUUCUGACGUUAGAGCUAGGGCUAAGUCAAUAGUCUAGGCUACUUCUCAGACCUGAGACUCAACUGCUUUGAAUUUCAGUUUACUUAUUGCCAUUUGGGAAUAACAAGAAAUGAUCCCAACUCAGGGAUUCACUCCUGUGCUCAUAUGAGAGAGCAAAGACCGUCUGUACCUUGUUAUCGUCAUUGCCAUGAUCUCUGAGCACACUCUUAAGCAGCAGGGACUGCCCAUUAGCGACCAUUUCGAAACAGUUGAGGGUAUUGGCUAGGGGGUGUGUCGUCAACAACUGUUUCUGCAAGCACUUGCUGAACACUUGUUCAUUAGCUGGCACUGUGCCUGGGUGAGGGGCUCUGGGAAGAAUUGAGACCAGAAACUUUGGCCUCCUCUACGAGGCUCUAAUCUUGUCAGGGAAAGCAUGGAAACAGAGACACAUGGGAAUAGAGGACACAUGGGAAUAGAGGACAGUGAUGGCUUGGAUGAGAUUCAGUGAAACUAUCUGAAAUGGGUCUUCACUGCUAUUUGUUUCUACAAAAUGGGGUGCAUCUUGCAGCUUUAACUUCUGUGUUUAUGGGGAAAAAACGUAACCCCUUGGAAGCACCCUUCAAUCAUUCAACUUUCUUUUUUUUUUUUUGACGGAGUUUCACUCUUGUUGACCAGGCUGGAGUGCAAUGACGCGAUCUCGGCUCACGGCAACCUCCGCCUCCCGGGUUCAAGCGAUUCUCCUGCCUCAGCAUCCCGAGUAGCUGGGAUUACAGGCAUGCGCCACCAUGCCUGGCUAAUUUUUGUAUUUUUAGUAGAGACGGGAUUUCUCCAUGUUGGUCAGGCUGGUCUCGAACUCCCAACCUCAGGUGAUCUGCCUGUCUCGGCCUCCCAAAGUGCUGGGAUUACAGGCAUGAACCACUGUGCCCAGGCCAGUCAUUCAAUUUUCAUAGCGUGGACUUGAGUCAGAUUAUUCUUCAUGGACAAAGAUUUCUGAGAAGGCUGGUUAGUAUAUAGCUGGAGAAAUAAAGCAACUCAGAAACUCCAUUGGCUCUUUUAAACAAAUUUUACUCUAUUAAAAUUGGAGACAAACAUGUCUGCCAUCUCUCACUUUGGUAGUAGGGAGUAAGGGGUGCCGUACUCAACCAGGGUUCCUAAUCCACAGUUUGUGGUUCUCAAAUUUUGCACUGAUAUGCCGCUAGGACACUGCAGCAAGCUCACAGAACUGCCAAAGAAUAUUUUAAAAAUUUCAAAGUGGCAACAGUGGCAUCUGUCAGAUACCAGGUGUUGAGUUGUUUGGACCUAACUAUGUAUUAACAGAACUACUAGUUAUUUCUUUUAGUUUAGGGGCACUGCAAAGCAUUACUGAGAUCCCAAAGGCAUCCUGAAUGGGAAAUGUUUGGCAGGCUCUCUGGGGCUCAGUGCACCAUCACCAUGUCCACAAUUGGAUGGCCACGCGGAAGCACACCUGUGCACGGACAUCUCUUCUACACACCCGCACCUUGGUCUUAUCUUUGGCCAGCUCCUUUGGACUUGGCAGUUGCUGAUUUGCUUCUUUUAAAAAUGUGUGAGUUUGUCACGAAUUUGGUCUUGAUUCACAGUGUCCACCGUUCAGCACCAGAGGCAGCCGUAACUCCUGCCUUUGGGGUAAGAGAGAGGUGGUUAGCUCAAAGGCUGUGAGUUUUCAACACUGGGCAAGCCUCCAAACUGACACCCAGGCUGGCAGAAUUUGCCUCUAGAGCCAUUGGGUAGUGGGUGGCCUCAUCUUCUCCUUCCUGACUUUGUCCCCUUCUUUCUGGAAGGCCUCCAGCCCAGAUCCCUGCUUACCCUUUCCCUCCCAUCAGCUUUCCCCUGCACGCCCUCAUAGCGCUGAUGCCACCUCUGCACCCCUCCCAGGUCUGUGUGCUCUGCUGCCUGUGGGCUUCGCUGCUCCACCGUUGCUCUCAACUGCCAUCGGAAUUUUCUCUCCUGAAGAUUCUCAGCGGUUGGUGCCCAGGUUCUGCAGCCAGGUGGACUAUGAGGCUCCAAGGCUGUUGGGAUUCAGACCCGCUGUGGGGACCUGGCAGCUAGUAUACCAGAAAUGCGCAGUGAAUAUGUGAUGGAUCAACCUAAUAGCUUAAUUCCCAGCGAGAGUUUCAGGGCAGCUACAGUCGCGUGUGAGAGCCCCCGGUCACUGCUUCUCAUUUUCCAGAGGCUCUUUCUGCCUUAGCUGAAGAAAAACCUGAUGGGGGAGCCCAGGCAGGCCCAGCAGAGGGGGUCUGUGGCUGGGGGACAUCGGCCCUCCCGUGGCCCUUCUCUUUCCUGCUGCUCUUGCUCGUCCUUUGCCGUGGCUCUCGUGUCCUUCCAGGCAGGUGGCUGAGUGCAUGCAGCCUACGUAGACGGGGCAGGGCUGUGUGGGGAUUUAGGUGCUGGAUUUAAUAAAUGUUUUUAUCUUUGCAUGGCAACAGGGAGAGGAGACUAAUGUCUCCAAGGCUGAGGCGCACACCUCACCUUCUCGCUCUGGCGGGCCGGGCCUCUGGCAGCCCCUGGCUCUGCUUCACAGGGUUGCUGGGCCCUGCUGUCCUGACGCCUUGCAGCGGGAGGUGGGAGGGACGGGGAGGGGAGCUGGAGGAAAGACUGCCCCACCUUUGACAUCCCCAGGCUUCCCAGUGUUGCCGCCUCUCCUGUAUCAGCUCUUGAGACCAUUUUAGAGGUGGAAAGAAGCUCUGCUUUUUAGCACACAGAAAAAUACCCUGGCCAGGUGGGACCUCACUGGAGAUGAGCCUAUGGUUUAAGGCCUUUUAAGAAUGGAGGUUCAGGACUCAGGGCCCUUCUGGUGCUCUGCUCGCCAACCCCCCAUGUUAGGUUUGGGCAGGCUUGGAGGGGAUCUCCUGCCAGAAGACCCCCAGCCCCACUCUCCUGGUAGACCAAGGCCUUGCAGAUCAACUCUGGGCCCCUGGGAAGAGAAGUAGAGCCUGGUCUGGGCUCCUUGCUGCGUCUGGCUGAGCCACAGGCAGAGGGACACGCGGGAGCAGCCCUGGAAACUGGGGUGUCCGGGACCUCAGCUACUAGAGGGGCAAAGGAACAUCUAUGAACAGCUCCCACCGGGCCUGCCAUGCUUUCAGACGCAAGAAAUAGCUCCACUGCCUGGGCCAACGUUCUGCUGGCUCCUCCUUUGAUAGUAGCAGUCAGGUCUUGUGCUGAGAGCUGGGCCUACAGGGAUUUAUUAUCCAGAACGGCUGCUCUAGAGGGGCGGGUAGUUGAUUUGGAGAAAAAGCACACAUGCAUUUGUCACCUCAGUGUAACAGGGCUCUGUUCUGGCAGUGACAGGAUCACAGAGGAGGGCUCCCCAUCCAGGGCCCCUGUCCUUGGGAAGGUUUUGGAGCAUGGAGAGCCUGAGCUGAAUCCUGAUGAAGAAAGCGCUUAAGUCAUGCCAAGAGUGGGAUGUGGGGGAAUCCAGGGGUGGGGUGGGUAUGGGGACCCCAGCGUGGGGAAGGCACUGACGUGUGACAUAGCAAGGGUGAGGACACUGGGGGAACUGAGUAUUGAGGAAACCAGUGGAUGGUAGGAUUGCAGAAGGAAUGAUGGGCAAGGGAUGACAGGCUUGUUGGGCCUGGAUUUUAUUCUGUGAAUUCUUCUGGGAAGAAGGACAGCCAGAGGGCCAGAUGGGCAUUUUGGAUGGAGCUUGCUGGCUGCAGUGUGCAGGGGACAGACAGACCUAAGUGAAGUCAAGAGUUGGGGCACAAGAGGUGGCCACUGCAAUGAAUGAGGCAGGAGAUGAAAAGCCCCAGUGAGGGUGGGAGAGGGGCAGGAGGGCUAGUGGGGAGGAGGGAAGGGGUUGCAGGUUCUGGGUGGCCUUGGGUAGAUGCCACCAACUAAAAAAGGAACAGAGUUGGGAGAUAGGGAUGUUGAUGACAUUCGGUCUCUGUGGCCUCAAGGGAGAUGGAAGUGGAGGUGUCCAUUGCUCCUGGCCAGGCUGGGCGGUUGGGUAUCAACAUUCACAGGCUUCCUAAACCAGAGUCAAUGAGAUAGCGCCGGAAGGGUGAGGGGAACAGUAGGCAGGGACAUAUUCCUAAGGAUAGAUUAUAAGGGGCAGGUGGAGAAGCAAGACAGGGGCAGAGGAGGCUGGGGCUGGAGGGCUGGGGAGUGUGAUGCUGCUGAAGAAGAGGGCUGUCCCUCACAGGCUUUGGGGGUCUUCACCCACUCUCUCCUCUCCCACCAGUCUAUGAACGGGUUGCUGAGGGGAGUGACCAGUCUUAAGGGCUAACACUAUGUUUGACAUACGCUUGGUGCUGAAUUAAUGUUAGUGAAAUCCACUGAACACAAAUGUGGCACAGAGGCCAGUGAGAGGAGGACUGGAAACAUUGGUGGCUUUGGCAAUGGUCAGGGGGAUGGUGUGCUAUUUGGUAGACGAGUUUGGGGGACAGGAGAAGCGGGGGUGGAAGCUAGACUUCAGCAGGCUGAGGAGGCAGUUUUUUGGGUGGAGUUGGGUGGGGGUGAUGAGGAAGUGGAAGAGAGUGAGUGUCUCCAUUCCUCAUAAGAGUUUGUCUGAGACAGGAAAGAGAGAAAGUGCCGAGCUCACAUUUUGCGACUAGAGCAUUUGAAAUUUGUUACUCCUCUUUCUCCUCGAAACACGGCAUGUUCCUUGUAGCAAAGUUAGAAAAAUACAUAUAAGAAGAAAAAAAACUUCUGUAAUUCCGUCCAUUAGAAACAUAUCCUGUUCAACCUCAGAGUAAUUUCCUUCUGGACUUCUUCCGGCUUUGUGUUUUAGUAGAAAUGGUAUCACUCGGGGCAUUAUUUUGCAGCGUAUCUGUUUCUCUUUAAUAGUUCAUGAAUACCUUUCUCUUGUCGAUGCUACUCUUCUUCCAAAAUAUCCUUUAAACUUUUAUUGACCUCUCUAUCUCGUAUCUGGGAUUCAAAUGCUUCGAAAUCCAACAGGUGCAAAGGCGCAUUCAGGGGAAGGUUGCCCCUUUUAUUUUCUGCCUUGGAGCUCACUCUUUUUCGCUCCCUGGAGGCAACUGACACUCCUUUACAAGCAGCAAAUUUAGUAGUUAGUUCAUAUUCCAUUGCAUUAAUGUUCCGACAUUUAUUUAUUUUUUAAUUUUAUUUUUUUUGAGACAGGGUCUCCCUCUCCAAUAUUUAGUAAAAUAGCUUUCUGUCUUGAGUAUUUGGAUGUUACUGUUUUAUUUUGCUAUUAUACAUAAGGUUAUGAUGAAUGUCCUUCUGGCUAAAUCUUUGCAUACAUACUUCAUUUUGUUAGAAUAGAUUUUUAGAAGCAGAAUUUCUGGGUCAGAAGGUACGACAAACUAAAAUCCAAUAUCAGAUUUUUACCUCCAAAACAAGCUGUAUCGAUUGACAUCCCCUAGCGAUGCAUGAGAAUGUUUGUAUCCCCACCUAGGCCCUCCACCUGUGUUACUAAAAUUCACUUCCUCAAACUGUGUCAACUUAGUGGGUGAAAGGUGCAUGUGAGGGCCUCUAAUCCUCAUUGCGAACUGCACUUUUAAAGGGUGCAAGUAGCAUCUUGGGGAAAAAUAGGAGAGUAGGUGAUGGCUCCAGGGAGGUCAGCUCUGAGCCCCCAGGGAGGGCUGACCUGUGAGAAGAGCAGAGGAGACAAUCUAGCGUGGCUUGAGGUGGCUGCAUUGCCAGUGGGUGCAAAGCCCAGGGACAGGAUUCUUCAUUUUUUCAGAAACCCCCAGGUGGAAGGGGGAGGGCCCCAGGCCAUGAGAAGCAAGAAGGCCAUGAACGAUUCAGAACCUGAGGUCGAGGGACCAUUGGCACGCACGCAGGAUUUUUGUUUUUCCCCCUCAAAGAGACUAUGGUGAUCUUUUUCUGACAACUUACUGGUGCACUAAAAGGGGUUCCUGGAAUAGGGUUGGGGGUGCUGGUGGUGAAUGCUCUUGGGUGAUCAAAAUGCGCCUCUCUCUUAGAGUUUGCCCCGUGCACAGGUUUGGGGUAGGAGCCUGUGUCCUUGUGUCCUCUGAUACUGGGCUGUGCUGCUUGGGGAAGGGAGAAUAAAGACUGCUUUCGUGCACCCAGCUGAGAGGUGGGGCAAGGGACACCAAGAGCUCCCUUAUUCAUAAACGCCAGAUUUUAGAAAGUUUGCACUGAAGGGUGAACCUGGACAUUGGGAAGAGCAGGAUAUUCCCUCAACGUUCACCUACGCUUUAGGUUUCUGUAAAUAAUUCCUGCUUUUACCACGUCAGCCUCAAGGGCCAACUCCUUCUCUUUGGUUUUUCUGCACUGCUGUAGACAGGGCAAGUCUCUAGACAACUUAGUUUCUUAAAAACUGUAGGACAAAAAGGAGAAAUAAACAAGAUAAUUUGACUUCCAAUACGUAGUCACGUGUCUUUGGGUUAGGGUUGCAAGAUGUCUCCCUGGAUUGUUUCCAGUCUGACUCUCAAGUUUGGGAAUCCAAAUUUCAGCCCUACCCCUCAGGGGCACCUACAAGGAACAUAAGCUUCCUUGACGUUCACCUUAGAGAGCUGGCACCAGAGUGAAAUGAGCAGCUCCAGUCCACUCUCUGUGAAUUUAGAGCCAUACCUUGCUCUUACAGUUUGCUUGUCCCCCAGCUAUUAUUUCCUGUUGAUUAUGAUUUUCAAAUACGGUUUUAUCCAAGGCAUAGUUUUGGGCCCAGGUGACAUUUCCCCAUCCUGCACUCCAGCUGGAUUCUUCAUUAGCCUCUGCAUUCAUUCCCUAGGGCUGCUGUGAAAGAUGACCACAAACUAGGUGGCUUAAAACAACAAAAAUUUAUUCUCUCACAGUUCUGGAGGCCAUAAGUUUGAAAUCAAGGUGCCAGCAGGGUUGGUUCCUUCUGGAGGAGCCUAUGAAGGAGGCUUCCAUUCUUUUCUUCUUUGCAUGUCUUCUCUUCUUAGGAAGACACCAGCCACUGGAUUCAGAGUCUACCCCAAUCCGGUAUGACCGCAUGUUAAGUGGGAACAUUAGCAGAGACUCCAUUUCCAAAUAAGGUUACAUUCUGAGGUGCUGGGUGGACAUGAAUUAUUUCGGGCAACCAUUCAGCCCAUUGCGGUCUCUCUGCCUUCGGACUCCUCUUUCUACCUGUCCAUGCCAUGGACCCUGUGGGAGUCAUUUUUUUUAACCUUCCUGUAGUGGAACCACCCCACCCCUGCUUUCAAGCCCUUCAAGGACUCCCCACUGCCAACAGAAUAAAGUCUUAUCUCUUUAGCUCAACUUAUGGAGACUCACCAUAGUCUGGCCCCUAUGAUCUUUUCUACAUUCCAUUUCUCCAUUUCUCCUACACACUCCCUACCAUCCCUGGGAAAGGUCUUCUAUGUUGUUGAACAUGCUGUGGAUGCUCUUUUCUCCUUCCUCCUUCUGUCUAUUGCUGAGACGCUCUUUUUCUCGAACACCCGUGUCAUAUAUCUUUCCUUGUUCAUGAGGACGUUUCUAGCCAGCCCAUGUCAAAGGGCUCACCUCUCUCCACAGACCAACCCUAGCCCACACGGUGCACCAUUCCUCAGUCUGUAGUGUGGCUGUCCUCUACUGGUGACAUUUCCAUUUUCCAUUUCCAUUUUACCCAGGGGCAAGCCUGUGUGCUAUACUUCUUUGGGUCCUUGGUUUUGACAAUGGUGUUCGGAACAGGUGGCUUCAUGGUCAAUGAUUUUGUAUGCUGCUGCUGGUGUGAGCAUGCUGAAUUGCUCCAUGCCUGCAGCUCCCUCUAAAACUGAUGGAGAGCCCUGUGCUGAGAUGAAAUGGGGGGAAAGGAGAAAUUUGUUGCCACUUUGAGAGUCAAAGGCAGUGGUCUUUCCAAGGAAGAGUGAACUAGCAGAAUCACUGCAGGAGAAGCAAAUUCUGGAGGCUGGAUGCCAAGAGGUGCUGUAAGAAAAGUUGUAAAGAUAUAUGUGGGGGAAACCACUGCUCCCAUCCCCCUUGGGAGACAAUUGGUAAACAAUAUAGUUGGCAAAGGAUAGGGACUGGGAGGGAAGUAAAAGAGGAGACAGAGUACAAUGAACAGAAUAGAUGCCAAUGGCCUUAUCAGCUUUAACAGAUGAUCUGAAAACUUUAAAGUAACAAGGAAGUUUUUAUUCCCAUAAUUGUUAGUAGUGUCUUUUGCUAGCUCCUCCGAUGUGACAGUGAUUGACCAUUGGCAGCUGGGUCUUCAAACUCUCUUCUAAAAUGUUGCAUCUCUAUGGGGACACAUGAGGAACUUAGUUCUUCUAUCUGGAAGUAGGUGUCCUCUAAGAGUUCUUGUGUUGUGUACUCUGUAUCCUUUUUUUUUUUUUUUGGACUAUGUCUCAGUUGCAUCAAAGCCCCAUUAACAUUGCCCUUUGGGAUCAAAAAGUAGUCCACCCGAGAAGAAAGAGUAGAGUUUUAGAGAACUGGGGUGAGAAUUCUGGGCAGAUGGCCAAGGUGUGGGCUCCAGGCUGAGCUUGCUGACACAUGACAUUGUAUGUUUCAGGUACUGGGACAAGUUUUCAAUGUCAAAAUCUUUGAAGCCACCAGGGCCUUUUUUGUUUUUGUUUUUUGGCUAGGUCUUGGCAGUACUCCUUCAUAUAGUAGUAGGUUCAGAAACUCAGGCUAAGGAAAGCAUCCAGAAAACAUUGUCUGCCUCUGCAACAGUUUGUGGAUAGCUUGUAAUUGUAGUUCUGAUCUUGUCAAUCUGUCUUAUAACUCUAAAUGUGUGGUCUCACCUGGCUAGAUACAGAAAAUACCUAUCUUCUUAUAGAAGCAGGCAAUCCUCAACCCCAUUAAAAAAGUAUGGUUUCUUGGACAUUCCAUCUAAUAGGAAUGCCAGUUUGCCUCCUGAUAUGUUGCCAGUCUGGCCAUUUCAGCAGUCACUAUUCAGCACUAGAGGAGGACUUCAGUAAAAGUUCCUUUGUCAGUAAGUCUUCCACGCAACAUAUUUGUUUCCAGGUCCUAAUGGCAAUUCCUCAGGAUCUGGAGAAAAAAAAAAAAAAAAAAAAAGAAAAGGAUCAACUCUCACGUUUGAGUUUGUCCCAUUCAUCUACAUAAAGACUAUCUAUCAGUUUGAAGUGUCUUUUUGAGAAUCAGAAAGGGGAGAGGAUAUAGGGGGCAAAGGAUGUAUUCUUUGAGAUCCUGCUCUUAAGCAGUGAUUCUUCUCUAGCACUCCUUAUUUCUAGAAUUUUCUAGCCAUCUCUAACAAAAGCAAAGUGCAAAGAGCAUUUAAUACAAACCAAAACAUGAAAUGAUCUUUUGAUAGUUCAGUGUUGUGGCUGUGACUUGGAAUUUUUCACUACAUUUAAAAAAAAAAAAGCCACAUAUGCCCGGGUAGUCUCUGCAUCAAGUCUGAUACCAUUGCUCCGACGUUAUGAGGCUGAAGCAGUUGUGGCUGAUUGAUGUCACUCUUCUAGCCAUCUCCUAUUUCCACAGAGAGAGGCCGGGUUAAUCCAACUCCAGUCUAACUUCGGAGGCAUCAAGGAUUCUAGGCAGCAUCUCCCGUGUUUCUUUUUCCAAGUGAAUUCCUGGAGGAAAACAAUGAGGUCCAUGUGUCUUUGCAUCCCCAGGGACCAGCUCAGUAAUGGGCGUAUAAGAACACGCUGAAAAAAAUUGUUUUGUUUUUGAACGACAGCGAUUUAAGAGUAGUAAGGUCCUCGUAAAUAUAGGACAUUGUACUCGUGUUUUUCUUCCGAGCAUACAAAUAUUUGCAAUGAGGUUGCACCGCAGACUCCACAGCCAUUGUGGCACCUGGGGCUCUGUGACUUGGGAGGCAGAGGAGAUGGAAUGCCGGUGAGAAGAAGGAGAUUGUGGUGUGAAUGUGAGGGAUGAGGGUGAAUUAGCUUCCUACGGCGGCUGUUACAAGUUUACCACAAGAUAAAUGAGUUAAAACAGUACAGAUUUAUUAUCUCACAGUUCUGGAAGACAGAAGUUCAAACUACUGGCAAAGUUCAAAGUGUUGGCAAGGCUGUGCUCCUCAGGAGGCUCUAGAGGAGAACCUUUUUCUUGCCUUUUCCUGUUUCUAGGGGCCACCGGCAUCCUUCGGCUCAUGGCCUCUUCCUCCAUCUUAAAAGCCAGCUUCUGCAAAUUCGUCUCUAAUUCUGACACUACUUCUCUUGCCUCCCUCUCUCACUUAUAGGGGUCCCUGUGAUGACAGUAAGCUCACCCUGAUAAUCGAGGCUAAUCUCCCCAUCUUAGGGUUAGCCUAUUAGCAACCUAAAUUCCACCGGCAACUUUAAUUCCCCCCUUGCCAUGCACCGUGACAUAUUCACAGGUUCUGGGGAGGAGGGCAUGAGCAUCUUUGUCGGGGCAUUGUUCUGUCCAUCACAGAGAAGCACUCAGAGAUUCCGGACUCCAGUAUCCUCAUUGUACACUUGAGGAAGCUUGGGCUCAGAGGCUUUAUGUUAAUUCCAACAGUUUUUGCAACAGGAGGAGGAGAAUAUCUGUCCAGGAGCCCUAAUCAAGACUCAGCAGGAAGCUGGUGGCUUCCUUUCCUUCCUUCUUUUGCUUCCUUCCUGUUCUUCCUGUGCUUCCUUUCAGUUCUUCCUUCUACAUAUGGGGCCCAUCACAUUCCCACUGACUCAGAUGCUGAGGGGCCAGACUGAAGGGACAGUGGCCAUUGCAUCAAGUCAGAGAACGGAUCUGACCCAUCUAGUAGAAGCUUAUUGUUUUGGCAGAAGCACAAGCUCUUAGAGGUGCAGCUGCAGGGUGUGACCUAUUGGGGACAUUGAGCUCAGUGACCAUGGGCCCUGAGAGUCUGAAAUCCUGGAAUUUCUCCCAAAACGAAGUCCAUGUAGGGAAGCCAAAGUGUGAGUCUUACCCGGCUGGUUUACAACUGACUGACAUUUGCUGCCUGGGCAGCUGUUGUGGGUGCCUGGAAACCCUAUUGGACUAGGACUGGCCCCGGCAAAAAACAAGUGUUAUAGCUGCCCAGUGUCCUCUGAGUGGAUGCUGGUGAUUCUGGUAUGGAGCCCAGAUGUAAGGCAGCAGGUGGUCCAGAAGGCACCAGAAGAGGUCUCCUGUCAAAGUCAGGGCCAGAGAAGAAGGCACAGGGAACCUACUGCACGAGACUUUCACUUGCAACGAGCAACCCAUGAUGAGGAGGGAGGAUUCCUGGGGGCAUUGAGUCCCCCAGACACAAGGACCCAAGACCUUCUUGCUUGGAAAGUGAAUUCCUCAGAAUUCCGAGAUGAUGCCAGUCUUGGAGGAAGAUGACAUGAGGACCCAAAACCUUCUUGCUUGGAAAGUGAAUUCCUGAGAAUUCCGAGAUGAUGCCAGUCUUGGAGAAAGAUGACAUGAGGACCCAAAACCUUCUUGCUUGGAAAGUGAAUUCCUCAAAACUCCACAAAGACUCCAGUCUUGGAGGAAGAUGACAUGAGGACCCAAAACCUUCUUGCUUGGAAAGUGAAUUCCUCAGAACUCCACGAAGACUCCAGUCUUGGAGGAAGACGAGGUGUUGAGAGAUAGCUGGGAUCCCUGAGGAAGGCAGCCCCAGUCUCCGGUGGAGAAUUAAGAGGGGCCCAAGCAGAUGGUUGGUGGUGGAAACGUCACCUCAGUAUAGUACUAUGGAGUUUCCUUUCACCCCCAACAGCCGACGGUUUCCAGGGGCGAAGAGUGAAAAUUGAAGCAAGCGGUAGACAAGGAGGCAGUGCGCCUGCCACCCCCAAGGAAGAGUCAGUUCAGAAGCACAGCAGCUGCUGGAAACCCAGGAGGUUUCCAGUUCGUUCCUGCUGGGACCUGGCAAGAACUGCACUGUCAAGGCUGCAAGAGGCUCCUGACGGCUUCUGACAUGUACAGAAUGGAAUAAGAGAACCUAGCAGAAAUGGAAGCAGAGGCAAGAGGUCUGGAGGCCAGGAAAAUGUCAAUGGAAAGCAGCUAGCAUGAAGACCCCACAGUGUUCCUCCCUCUAGUAGUCUGGUAUUAUUUGGAGCUGAGAUGCUCCCAAUAUGGUUGGGACAUUUGUCCCCUCCAAAUCUCAUGUGAGAAUUUGAUCCCCCAUUUUGGGGAUGGGGUCUAAUGGGAGGAGUUUGGGUCAUGACGGGGGACCCCUCAAGAAUGGCUUUGUGCCCUGCUCACCAGGAAUGAAUGAGCUCUCACUCUACUAGUUCACUGGAGAGCUGGUUUUUUAAAGAGCCUGGCGUCUCCCCAACUUUCUCUCUUGCUCCCCCUUCUCACUGUGUGAUAUACCUGCUCCCCUUUGCCAUCCAUCAUGAGUGGAAGCUUCUUGAAGCCUCCACCUAAAGCAGAUGCCGACACUAUGCUUCCUGCACAGCCUGC
rnacentral:lncRNA from 1 species